GAGGACAUCACAUUUGCCUGAUCUUGUGUGCCUGAUCUCUCUGACUCCGGAGUCUCUUAUAAGUUGAGUGAUAAUUCACCUUAUAGACCAUUCCUGAGGUGAUUGUAACACGUGGGAGAAUUGAGCCUAUCAUGGGAAUGAACACACAAGCAGUGGGUCAGUGUGAAUCACCACAGAAAGCUGAGGCUGCAUUUCAAACUCCAGCAACACCACAAGCUCCUGAAAUGAAGACUCCCAAGUUUCCUGAUUGUCUAACUGGUUAGAGUCAAAGAUGGGAAACACUCAGGCAUCAACGAGCUCACCCUUGAAAUGCAUCCUAAGCCAUUGGGACUGAUUUGACCCACGAACCCUGAAAAAG